AAUGUUCGGAGCGCGGCCACCAUGCAUCUCUUUGCCCCCUUGCUGCCCAAGCUAAGCUUAGUAUGCUUUGUGAGCUCCGCUGUGUGGAGGGGAGCCUCAUCACUAGAGGAUUCCAUCGACACCACACAGGCUUUCUAUCUCAGCUCUAGCCUCGCAUGGUCGUGCUCGAUCUCCUCAACCGCGAAGCCCCGUCCCUUCUCACCUGCCUCCCUACUCCUUAGGUUUCACACCAUCUUGUUGAUAUGUCGAGAAUUCCCUAAGCACCUAGAGCAACAAAGUGGUCAUGCAUUGCGUGCCCUUCGAUGCUUCACCGUCAAUUGUCACCGAUGAAGCCGUCGGUGCAAUCCUCCUUCGUUGAUUUUGACUGCCAGGAGUGUUCAGGGAGCCUCUCAUUUUUGUGCUGCAUUAUCUGGAGAUAAGUAAAAUGAUGUGGACAAGAAGAUGGUGUUACUUAAAUCUCUCACAUAUGAAUCCUUAUAGGUUUGUAUGUAAAAUUAUUAUUUUGAGAAACUUGUGAAAAAAAAACAUGUCAACAUGGUUUUGGAAAAAAUUAUGUGUGAAAUUCUGCAUUAAAACAUUUGAUGUGCUUAUCUACUAAAAACCACGUUAUCUACCCUUUCAUGAAUUCAUGUGUUUUGUUGUUUCCUGCAUUCCAAACGGCUUAUUACAAAAGUUUCCUCUGUUUUUUUCACUUGGAUUACUUUCCUAUUCUUCUGAUUUUUCCUAUUUCUAUGUUUUAUGUUCCUGUGUUUCAAACGGGCCUAAAUGUAACGAAAGUUGAGGGAAGUAACCGAUUGGACAUAGUUUUUUGGCUGAGAAUUAAACUUCGGACUAAACUUCUUGCAAACAAAAAGUGUAGCAAAAUACCCUAUCAAAAUACUCUCUCGGAUUUUGUAAAAAAAAAACUCUCUCGGAUAAUCGGAUGGGCCUUUCCUUCCCAAUAUCUGCUCGCCGCCGGUGUCCCCCAAAAAGAAGAACUCGUCGCCGUUGUCGGCCUCCCCAUCCCGUCGCGGCAUCGCCUACCCCCGGUGGCUGCGAGCUACCAGAUCCAUUGAACGCCACCACUAUCGCCAGUGAGCCCCCGAAUGGCCGCAGCGUAACUAAUCCCCGAAAAUGUGUGUUAUUUGAUGAUCUCUGUAGUCCUGCCCGCCUCGAGAAGGUGGCGAUUUAAUCAAUUACGCGGAAGAGCUAAUGCUUCGUCAGGAAUGUGAGUGAUGGCAUUUGCGCUAGAAAAACAGGUAUUGAACCUGACAAGCUGUUAUUGGACAGGUCCCUGAAAUUGAAAUUCUUAUUAUUGUAUGAGUAAAUUUUAAGUUUUAUGUUAGUUUUCGACUUUCUGUAAGCGAAAUUAUCUGCGAAAUAUGUUGUGAGAAACUGAAGGGGUUCUGCAACUUAUAGGCUUAUAGCUUAGAAGUAGAAUAUGUUGUGUGAUGAAUAUGAUGAUAUUUGGCACUUACAAGUGUUGUAGAGAUUUUAGAUCACCAAACGAAGGAUCAACUGCACCGGUCAACACACUAGAGGACAGAUUUCUGUAGCAAAUCCCAUAGUAGAUUAAUCCAGAUGAAGAAUAACUGCAAUUCAAGCCAUCCCAGGCAAAUGCUUUCGGUGCACAAGGGUCACCCAUCCAGUUCUUCUUCAGCGCAUAAGCGGUGCGAAUUGCCAUCAUGGCCUCAGCUGCCAUAUGAAAAAAGACAAGUGUUGGGUACCAUCUCCAUUAUUCGUCCCAAGCUCAGCCGUCUGCCGCACCGAGUAUAUCUCGAACGCGUUCAGGAUGGGUGGGAGUGUGGCGUCCGGUGUGGCGACAAGUGAGACGGUGUGCUGGCCUGACCCCUGCACCACCACCCUUUCCACAACUUCUGCAGAAAGGUAUUUUGGGCUGUAGCUCCGGCUUCCAUCCCACGAGGCGCCGUCGACAAGGACGUCGAACCGCCUUAGCGCGCCGCUUGGCAGCCUCUGCAGCUCCGCGAAGUAGAGCAGCAGAAGGUCACGGUGGUCAAUGCCAGCCGUCAGUUAGAUCGCAUUUCACGGAGAGAUACAUGUUAGUGUCUAUUGGAACUUGAGACAGGUGAUAAUAUUUAAACCAUGUGCUUGAUGUUCCUAAAACAAUGAUAAUAGUUAAACCAUGUUCGAGAUUGAUGAUCACUCUUCCAGUGUGGUGUCUGCAAUUGAUAAUACGAGCUCUUUACAUAAAUAAGUGCAGCAUGAGCCAAGUGUUACAAUCAAGUCAAGGAUAGAAAACUCAGGAACUGGCCGGCCGCCAGAAGUGGUAGCGGUUCAAAGCAAACCUCGCCGUCGGCCGGCGAAAGUUGAGCAGGAGCAACGACUGGUUCGCGGUGGCCUCCGGGUACAUGGCCGCCCUGAGCGGCCUCAGGUCAAGCCCGGAGAUGAACGGCGUCCCCAACCCAAUGUCCACCAGACAAACCUGAAAAUCAAAUACAGUCAGGAACUCGGCGGGCGACACGGUGACGGCCUCGAGGAUGUAGGUGUCGUCGGCGGCGGUGACGUUCACGGCGGCCCAGCGGUGGACGCCGAGGUAGAGGUCGAAGGCCGGGAGCCUGCUGAGCUGAUCGUAGUUGCCGUAGUAGAAGCUGCACCUGACCAGGUACUUGGCUCCUUGCGUUAGCCCCCGGAGCGUGUAGCAGCUCCUCCGGUUGUUGCCGCCACCGGAGCCGCCGGAGGGGGCGAAGAAGUAGCGGACGUUGAGGUACCGCGGCGCCAGGCCCCGAUCGCUGUACGGCGGGCUGAUGCCGGCGUUGGCCCCGGCCCCAGCGUCCACGAAGCCGGCGUCCGAGACGUACCUCAGGCCGUUGGUGGACUCGUCCGGGUAGCUCGUGCCCUCCGCGGUCCCGCAGUCGAUGCUGAUGAACCCUGCCAAAGCCGGCCAAAGCAGCUCGUUAACUGAGCAAGAUGCAUGCUUUCUUGGUAGAAAUUAUCAAGGACAUGUUCGAUCAGUACGUACCGAGAGUGUCGGGCUGGCCAUGGACGACGCGAAGCUCGGAAGACAAGAAGUAGAACGUCAGGACGAAGAUGAGGAGCAGCUGCCGACGAUGGCUUCCCGUCGUUGCCAUUGCGGACGCCAUGGCUAGCUGCGACACGCUGGUACGUUUUGCUCUCCUGGCCGGCUGACGGCUGUUAAGUGUGUAGAGAUUACUAGCUCAGGUCAAAGCAUUUGGUGUACGUUACAGCUGGCUUACUGCCGGCCGGCCGGCCGGCGAGGUUGGUGGUGUCGGAAACUCGGGAUUAAUGUUGGUGUCGUGUACUCGUGUGUAGUGGCGCGUUUUUUUAUGUAUAGAUAGAUACAUUCGUAUUUGCGCAGGUCAACGACGUGCGGUGCAAGUGUUUUGAGUAGUCUGCGGAGAUAACGCCCGGGAAUUUCGAGGGGUCGCAUCACAAGUCAGAAGUCAGCAGUCAAGCGAGAAGAGUACCUGCGGUUUAAGAAUUCGGAGAGCUGCGUACGUACAUGUACCUUACUGCCUGCGUGCACGUACGACAAACAGGUACAGCUCGCGAUGUGCUCCGGAAGUCUGGAGGUAGAAGUUGUUUGUAAAAGUACAGGAUAUGGUUUUUUAAGUACACAUGCAAAAAAAAAGAUGGUGCGAUAUGAUCUACUGCAUGCGUGUGGAGAGUUUGUAGUAUCUUCAAAACAAGAAAAAUUGACAUCGAUUAAUUCAUCAUUUAUUGGUAAUUUAUACAUGGUAUGUUAUGCACAAA